ACAAAAAAGAAUUUUUGGCGUCAAUAAAUUUACAAUUUAUCGCUUAUAACGUCAGCCAUUUUA
rnacentral:tRNA from 1 species